AUAUAAUCCUCCAGAAAGAUAUCGUUCUUAGGCCUGUUUGUUUGUUUAACUAAAAAAAUUCAAAUAUUUUGGGAUAAUAGUGGUAAGAAAAUUUAGUUAUUUUCAAAGAUGGCCUAUUCAGGUCACAAGGAAGUUGCAAUGCCAAAACAUUAACCAGCCAUUUGCAUUCUUUGGAGCUACCACCAUAUCACACAUUGAAGAAAGAAGUAAUUAAACAAAAACACAAUACACCCACAACACAAACACAGAGUGAGACAGUAUUUUCAAUUUCUAUAUAACAAUUUUGCUAAAAUAUGAAACAGACACCAUCUUCCUGAAGAAACAACCCAACCAGUUUAAAAUUUUACAACCCCAUCCAUCAUCAUCAUCAUCAUAACACUAUAGCCAAAUGUAACAAAUUUAAACACUGUUUUAAUAUUCUUUUCACCUUGGAGAGCAAGAUAAAUAGCUGAAUAAAUAGGAUUACAGAGCUAAAAUUUAAAAUAAAAUAACUAAAAUUAUAUAUUUUUUAAAAUAACAUAACAAUAUUUAAAUUUUAAAAUAAAACAACUAAAAUUACAUAUCCAACAAAAUUGGAGAACCAAGCCCAUUAAAUAGAAAAGCAAAACACGCACAGAAUAGAAGAGUGGGACAGAAUUUUCAAAUACAAUAUACUAUAUAUAAUUGAAACAGACAUCAUCUUGGGGAAGAAACAUACAUACAGCCAAUGAGUUUAAAUUUUAUAACAUCAUCAUCAACACAAGCCUUAUAGGCAUAAACUCUGGUUUUUAUUUUUAUUUUCCCUUGAAACGAAAGAUACAUACACACAUACAUACAUAGGUUGGUUUGAAUAGCUAAAAGAUUACUAGCAUAUGUGUUGAUUGAUUCCAUGUUUUCACAAUUGAUAAUGUUUCUUAAUCUUGUUCUGGAGCUCGUCCUUAUUGGCUCCCACAACCCUCUCAACUUCCUUUCCUUCCUUCCACCACACGAACGUCGGCAUCGCCUCCACCUUAAACUCCUUCGCCACACCCUUUAACGAUAAAACCAUAACACAAAAAUAUUUUAAGAAAAAUUGAUCAAUCAUUAAGGCCCCUUCGUUUGCAGAAAAAGAAGGCAAAAAAAAGAAGAAGAGAGAAAUGAAGUAAAAUAAUCUGAGAUCGAUGCUUUUACAGUAUAUUUUAAUUCAAAAUUUCAUCUCAUUUAACUUUCAUUAAUCUUCUUUCCACUCUAUCGAACUGAGCCAAGGGAAACUAACAAAAGUAAUUGGAUUGAAUAAAGAAAAGAGAGAAUAUGGAAGAGAAAAUCACAGAUAAUUCGUCCACGUCGAUCUUGACGAAGUCAGCGUUUGCAAACUCUGCGGCCAUGUGGUUAAACACUGGAGCGAUGAAUUUGCAAGGGCCACACCAGGACGCCGUGAAAUAUAUCACAACCUGAUUUUUAUUUAUAUGUUGCAGUUCAAAAGAAAAUGUUGAGAUUGAGAUGAAGAAACAUGCACGUACGUACAUAUAUAGAAACGCAAUUAAUUAAAUAAAGUUGAGAUGUACGUACUAGCUUAGGGGACUCUUUGAUCUUUUCCAAGUAGCUCUCCCAGCGCUCCGCGGAGUGGAACGCUUUCACGUCAGGACUCUCCUCCUCCAGGGUGCUAGAAAAAAGAACGCCCAUUCCUUUGCUUACUAUGCUCUUAAUUUGCUUAAUCACUACGCCAUUAUUUCUUAUAUAGAUUGGGAAGAUUCUUCAUUUCAUUAUUCAAUUCAAUUAUCAACUUCUUUUUUUUAUCCAAAACAGUGACUAAGUUUUGUGAGAAAUUCUCGUGCAUAUAAGAUAAAUAUUUUACUUUUUAACAUGAUUUAUUUCAUAUUUAAAAUAACUAAUUAGAAUUUCAACUUGAACCACAAACACACAUGUGAAUAUCAUUUGUGUCGAUUAUCGUUGAUUAUCCGCAUUUAACAAGGAGGUAAGAAAUGAACUGCUACCUCAUAUUGUGGGGUACUAGCCCACUGGCUCCCUCAUUCCAUCUUUGUCAUACAAAUUGCUGUAUCUGUCAGGACAAGAUUGUUUUCUGUAUUAUAUAAAAAAAAAAAAAAGAUUGUUUUCUGUAUCAGAAACAUACAGCAAAUAAUUCAACUAAUUAUUGAUUGCUUAGUUAACUGAAAAGUUGGUUAAAAUUUGAAAAGUUAGUUAGAAGUUAAAAAUUAAGGCCGAAAGUUAAUUGAAAGUUAAAAAAUUAUUUCAUUAAAUUAUAAACAUUUGAUAAAAUAACUUGUUGAACUACAAAAAUAUGUAUAAUUCAUAAAUGAACAUAUUUAUGUAAUAUUUUUAUAUAAAUUUUAGUUUGAUUUUCUUGACAAAAAUAUAUUUUUAGUAUUUAUAAUUUUAGUAUUAAGUUAGUUUUAAACACUUGUGGUUUUUUAUUUGUAAAAUUCAAAAAAAAAAACUACAUAAGCAUAUUAUAUAUCACUAUAUAUCAAUAUCAAUAUCAUUUAUAAUAAAAAGGUAAGAAGGAGAACAUCCUAUAUAUCAUAUGUAAAAAAAAGUAAAAAUAAUAAAACUUUACCUCAAAGAAAAAAAAAUUAAAAAAAUCUAAUAAAUGUGCAAAGUCAAAAAAAGAAUAAACAUAAAAAAUUAAAAAUUAAUGUUUUAAAAAACACUAAUGCAUAGAAAUUGUCAAACACUAAUAAAAAAAAUUUGUUUAGCAAAUAAAUAAACACUUUUAUCAUACAAGUUAUUCACUUUUUAUUACUUCAAUUAAAAAAAAAUAUCAAAGUCAUCCAUUUUUUUACAACCUCGUUACUAAAAGUUAUUAAUUCAAAAUUUAGCCUAUUUGAUAAAUUAGAUAAAAAAAAAAAUUGCUCCCUUUUGAUACUUCCACCGGGAUUUUUCUGAUUUUCGUUCCCUCAUCUUAUCCUCAUAUUCUUUAGUAGUUGUUAACUAGUGGAAAGAAGAUUAAUGAAAGUGAAACGACAUGAAAUUUUGAAUUGAAGUAUACUGUAAAAGCAUGGAUCUCUUUUCUGAUUUUCCGCUAAACUUGUGGUGACUAUAAACGAAUCAAGAGAGCAGAACGAGGAGACGAGAAAGAGCAAAAUAAAACAAAACAAAAUAAAAGCUACGAUGAGAUGGAACAAAAUUGUUGAUGCAUCUGAUUCCUCCCAAAUUGGAGGAAAAGUAAGCUAAAGAUAUAUACAAUAGAAUGGGAUAGAAAAGAUUCCACUAAAUUUCAUCAUAUUUCAGUCUCCAUUUCAUCCUUUUACUGAGUCCAAACAUUGCAUAAAUAUAACUUUUAAAUGAUUAUUAUAAAAGCCAAUAAUUAUAUUAUUUAUUCAUGACAACCCAUAAUUAAACCAAAAGUAUAACUUUUUUAUGCUAUUUAUGUAUUCCAAUUAAAUUCAAGUUCCUAUAUAAUCCUCCAAAAAGAUAUCGGUCUAAGGCCUGUUUGUUUAACUAAAAAAAAUCAAAUAUUUUGGGAUAAUAGUGGUAAGAAAGUUUAGUCAUUUUCAAAGAUGGCCUAUUCAGGUCACAAGGAAGUUGCAAUGCCAAAACAUUAACCAGCCAUUUGCAUUCUUUGGAGCUACCACCAUAUCACACAUUGAAGAAAGAAGUAAUUAAACAAAAACACAAAACACCCACAACACAAACACAGAGUGAGACAGUAUUUUCAAUUUCUAUAUAACAAUUUUGCUAAAAUAUGAAACAGACACCAUCUUCCUGAAGAAACAACCCAACCAGUUUAAAAUUUUACAACCCCAUCCAUCAUCAUCAUCAUCAUAACACUACAGCCAAAUAUAACAAAUUUA
rnacentral:lncRNA from 1 species